rnacentral:rRNA from 1 species
GAUAAACGCUGGCGGCGUGCCUAACACAUGCAAGUCGAACGAUCCCGCAAGGGAGAGUGGCGGAAGGGUGAGUAACACGUGGGAAUCUACCUCCUCGCAGGGAACAACCUCUCGAAAGAGAGGCUAAUACCCAAAAGGGUCAGAAAUGAUCAGAGUCGAAAGGCGUGAGGAGAGGAGCCCGCGGCCCAUCAGCUAGUUGGUGAGGUAAUGGCUUACCAAGGCUACGACGGGUAGGGGAUCUGAGAGGAUGUCCCCCCACACUGGAACUGAAACACGGUCCAGACGCCUACGGGUGGCAGCAGUGAGGAAUAUUGGACAAUGGGCGAAAGCCCGAUCCAGCAACGCCGCGUGGAGGAUGAAGGCCUUCGGGUCGUAAACUUCUUUAGAGGGAGACGAGAAAGGACGGUAUCCCUAGAAUAAGCGACGGCAAACUACGUGCCAGCAGCCGCGGUAAU